rnacentral:lncRNA from 1 species
UAAAUCACGCAAAUAAUUAAAUAAAUUUCUUAAAUAAUAGGUUGGGGCGUUACAACUCUCCUCAACUUAAAAGAAUUUUCGUCCACAAAAAUUACCUGUUGAAAACAAAUCCGGAUAAGGCUUUCUCAUCCAACUCUCAAUACUUGACUUCAAACAAGUCAAACACAAAUAUACCAACUAUGCAACAUCCCUUUUUAUUCCUGGCCACCAAAACAUUCU